AUGUGAUCGUCUCUCGCAUAUCAAUAAGCGGAGGAAAAGAAACUAACAAGGAUUCCCCUAGUAACGGCGAGUGAAGCGGGAAGAGCUCAAAUUUGAAAUCUUAAAGGGUUUCCCUUUACGAAUUGUAGUUUAAAGAGAGUGUUUUCUGUUGAGGUUUUGGUAAAAGUUCUUUGGAAUAGGACAUCAUAGAGGGUGAGAAUCCCGUAUUUGACCUUUACUUUCAACUUUGUGAUACACUUUCAAAGAGUCGGAUUGUUUGGGAAUGCAGUCCAAAAAUGGGUGGUAAAUUUCAUCUAAAGCUAAAUAUUGGCGAGAGACCGAUAGCGAACAAGUACCGUGAGGGAAAGAUGAAAAGAACUUUGAAAAGAGAGUUAAACAGUACGUGAAAUUGUCAAAAGGGAAGCGUUUGACACCAGUGUUGUUUUUCUGAAAAUCAAUUAAAGAACUGUUUAUGCUAAGCUGUUUAGACUUUAUCAGCUAACUGUUUAGUUUUGAGCUUUUCUUUAAUGCACUUUUCAGUUAACAAGUCAACAUCAAUUUCUUUUGCUGUAAAAAAGGCUUGAGGAAGGUGGCUUGAGAUUCGUCUUAAGUGUUUAUAGCCUCUUGCCUAUGCAGUCGGAGAGAUUGAGGUCUGCAGCGUAGAUCCUUCGGGGCUAAAUGCAUUUGUGCUAAGUUAUAGCAUUUUAUAGACAACUUGUUGACUAUGAUUUGUCUUGUAGCUUACUCGCUUAUGUUAUUUUACCUACGCUUAGGAUGUUGAACGCGCACAGAGUCUC
rnacentral:rRNA from 1 species